GACGAACGCUGGCGGCGUGCUUAACACAUGCAAGUCGAACGAGUGGCGAACGGGUGAGUAAUACGUGAGUAACCUGCCCUCUUUAUGGGAUAAGCCUUGGAAACUGGGUCUAAUACCGGAUAAAGGGGGAUGGGCUCGCGGCCUAUCAGCUUGUUGGUGGGGUGAUGGCCUACCAAGGCGGUGACGGGUAGCCGGCCUGAGAGGGUGACUGGGCACAUUGGGACUGACAAACGGCCCAGGCGAGGAAGGGAGGCGACAGUGGGGAAAAUUGCACAAUGGGCGAAAGCGUGAUGCAGCGUGGCCGCGUGGGGGUUGAGGGCUUUCGGGUUGUAAGCCUCGUUCGCAAGCGAACGGGUAAGUGAAGAAGAAGCCCCGGCUAACUACGUGCCAGCAGCCGCGGUAAUUC
rnacentral:rRNA from 1 species